rnacentral:rRNA from 2 species
GAGUGGAGCUUGCUCCAUGAUUCAGCGGCGGACGGGUGAGUAAUGCCUAGGAAUCUGCCUGGUAGUGGGGGACAACGUUUCGAAAGGAACGCUAAUACCGCAUACGUCCUACGGGAGAAAGUGGGGGAUCUUCGGACCUCACGCUAUCAGAUGAGCCUAGGUCGGAUUAGCUAGUUGGUGAGGUAAAGGCUCACCAAGGCGACGAUCCGUAACUGGUCUGAGAGGAUGAUCAGUCACACUGGAACUGAGACACGGUCCAGACUCCUACGGGAGGCAGCAGUGGGGAAUAUUGGACAAUGGGCGAAAGCCUGAUCCAGCCAUGCCGCGUGUGUGAAGAAGGUCUUCGGAUUGUAAAGCACUUUAAGUUGGGAGGAAGGGCAGUAAGUUAAUACCUUGCUGUUUUGACGUUACCAACAGAAUAAGCACCGGCUAACUUCGUGCCAGCAGCCGCGGUAAUACGAAGGGUGCAAGCGUUAAUCGGAAUUACUGGGCGUAAAGCGCGCGUAGGUGGUUCGUUAAGUUGGAUGUGAAAGCCCCGGGCUCAACCUGGGAACUGCAUCCAAAACUGGCGAGCUAGAGUAUGGCAGAGGGUGGUGGAAUUUCCUGUGUAGCGGUGAAAUGCGUAGAUAUAGGAAGGAACACCAGUGGCGAAGGCGACCACCUGGGCUAAUACUGACACUGAGGUGCGAAAGCGUGNNGAGCAAACAGGAUUAGAUACCCUGGUAGUCCACGCCGUAAACGAUGUCGACUAGCCGUUGGGAUCCUUGAGAUCUUAGUGGCGCAGCUAACGCAUUAAGUCGACCGCCUGGGGAGUACGGCCGCAAGGUUAAAACUCAAAUGAAUUGACGGGGGCCCGCACA